CUUGGUAGAGACCAUCUGCUAUAUGUGUUUCCUUUACCAGGAGUAUCUGCCUGCGGGGGGAAGGGAUAUCGGGUGCCCUACGUCCCUCUCGGAAGAUGGGCCCUAAGGAACCUCUCGGAGGGAACACGUUCUGUCUCCCCUGUGCUGGGUGUAAACUCUAGCGAUAGGACCGCCACCCGCUUCCCACCAAGUGCAGCUCAAUUCCAGGAAAUACUUUCAAGCCAGCGCGGAGACACACUGGGACGUCUUUUUCUUCUCCCCCGUCCAUCUGCAGGCCAAGUGCGCAUCGGUCAAAGGCAAACUCUGAAUUGAGCUUUGUGCCAGUCUCUGGAAAGACACCCAAGAGCGUGUGAUGGGGAAAGUGACAGUGGCGGUGGCAGCGACAUCUGCAGUGCCAGCCCCGUCCCUAUCUGCCACAGAACGCGUGUGGGCACGCUUUAUGAGAACAAUCCACCCGCCAGAGAAUGGGGCUUUUGACAUCAGCUGAGGCCCGGGCUGCCUUACAAUGAGAGGCCUGUUGGUGAAAGGGAGACUGUUUAAUGAACUGAGAAUCAGAGGCCAGCUCUGGCCAUCUGGACUGAGCAUCUUUGGAGCAACUCUUCAUUGUAAAUGGCUACACUGAAGCACGUUGCCUUUCCAAGAAAGCAAUUGCAACAGUAAAUUCAUAUUUCAAAAUUGUGCACAAUAAACUCAUAUUUCAAAAUCGUGAACUUUUA